UACGUAGGGGGCGAGCGUUGUCCGGAAUCAUUGGGCGUAAAGCGCGUGUAGGCGGUCCGGUAAGUCCGCUGUGAAAGUCGGGGGCUCAACCCUCGGAUGCCGGUGGAUACUGUCGGGCUUGAGUACGGAAGAGGCGAGUGGAAUUCCUGGUGUAGCGGUGAAAUGCGCAGAGUAUCAGGAGGAACACCAAUUGCGAAGGCAGCUCGCUGGGACGUUACUGACGCUGAGACGCGAAAGCGUGGGAGCAAACAGG
rnacentral:rRNA from 1 species